rnacentral:lncRNA from 1 species
CAGUCAGUAGCAAGUCAACCAUGUAAACUUUAACCGGAACAGUUCCCGAAGCUGAAACUCGAGAUGAAGUCAACCAUGUAAACGGAAAGUUGAUCGAAUAAACUUGAGAUCUUCACACUAAAAGAAAAAAAGAGACUUCGUGAAAGUAAGGUUUCUCGGACAAGAGAAAAAAUAUAUAUAGUUGAACCCCCUAUUUCCAAUUAUAGUUCAUACGAAUUGACAGAAUAAUCGAAAUUAUAAAGAUCUAUCAGCACUCUAUGAGAUAGGUGUAGGACCACAAGAUGAACAAAUCGUAUAUAGCAGAUUUGUAUGUAAAUAAUGGUAUCAUACAUUAAUUAGUGAUUAUGAGACUUACCUCGAGGGUGGGUUCCGGAGUGAACGAAGGGAGGGAAAAUAUUCGCCUCCUGUCUUUAAUAAAAUUCAGAUUAUUCGUUCACUAAAGCUAGAAUAAUCCCUAAUUUUAUGGCAAGACAGGAGGCUUCAUAUUUGCUGUUUUAACGCUCUCGAAUAAUAGAACAAGCCGCAUGUGUUUGUGUUGGUUUAAAAUAAAAAGUCCGAAAGGUAGAUUCCCUUGACCAAUCUGCGCAGGACAAAAUAUCUGCUAAUGAACUGCCGGCCCGAAAGGCAGAGGAAGCAGCCGCUCCCCUAACCGAAUGGGCCCCAAAUGAUCUAUCGAUUCCCGCUUGGAUAAGUAACCAUCUUAUCCAGCGAGCGAUAGUGGGGGAAGAGACCGGUUUGUGAGGUCUGACAUAAGAAAUGAAAAGAGGACCGGUAGGAGAACGUAGGGCGGCAGUUGCCUCUGUGUAACAACGAGUACACAGAGCCACACAGAGAGCCGGCCUGUCGGGAAAGUAUGGGUAAAAGACAGACGAGGAAUUCGUCUUAGUGCGCCUAGUAAUCUUUAAUCGGACCCCUUCUGGUGUGAAGGAGACAGCGUGUGAAUCAAAAGCGUGAACGUCAGAAACUCUGCGGAAUGACACCAGCCACAGUAGCAGGGCCAAUUUUGCAGAGAGCUGUCGAAGGGAUAAGGCCUCGUUAGGAGGCCAGGACUCUAACAAUGCGAAGACUCGAGAUAUGUCCCAGAAGCCAGAGUAUUUGGCAGAAGGUGGCCUCGUCAAACGAAUGCCUCGUAAAAGUCUGCACACAGAAGGAUGUUUCCCAACUAAGGAAUUAUCAAUAGGGUCAUGUCCCGCCGAAAUGGCGGAACGAAAAACAUUAAUUGAGCGGUAUGAUUUACCCUGAUCGAAAAGGGAUGAUAGAAAAUUUAGAAUGGAUGAGAGAGAUGUUGAAACGGGAUCGAAAUCCCUCUCCAGACACCAGCUGACCCAAACUCGCCAUGCGGCGAGAUAGGUGCGCCUGGUUCCCGGUGCCCAUGAAUCCCAUAGGAGUGUUUGAGCAGUGCUUGAAAGUCCUGCGACAUGCCAAGCACCCCUGAAACUGUCCAGGCCACUAACUGAAGAUGGCCCUGUAGAGCUAGUGGAUGGUAGUCGCCCGUUGAGUUCUUGAGAACCCGAUGUGAGCGAGGUAGAAUGAUGGGGUAGUCUGUGGAAAGCUCCAGAAGAGUGGGGAACCACGUCUGGGCCCGCCAGACGUCUGGGUAACCACGUCUGGGUAACUAUCACAAUCUUGACCCCCUGUGAUUUGACCUGGUGGAGAGUACGUUGAAUCAUGGAGAAGGGAGGGAAGGCAUAGGCUCCGUCCCGUGGCCAAUGUUGGAGAAAAGCGUCGACAGCUAGGGAUAGAGGGUCUGGUAACCAGCUGAAAUAAUCGUCUGUUUGACGAUUCAGCCGAGACGCGAAGAGGUCGAGAGUGAUCGGUCCCCGCAAUAGGUGAAUGUGGUGAAAUAGAAGAGGAUCUAAUUGCCAAUCGCUGGCAUCCCUCCAGUGACGUGAGAACCAGUCCGCGACUAAAUUGUCGGGUCCUGGGAGAUACUCGGCCCGAAUAGACAGAUUCCUGUCUAAGCAAAACUGAUACAGAUCCUUGGUGAGGUCUGACAGUAGUUUCGAUUUGGACCCUCCGAGACGGUUUACAUAUCGUACUGCGGAGAUGUUGUCCAUCCGAAGUACCAGAGAGCAGUUGGAGGCUUCUUUGGCAAAGCUGCGGAUCGCGAAGGAUCCGGCAAUGAGCUCGAGACAAUUUAUGUGAAGUGCUUGUUCCGACGGGGACCAGAGACCUCCUGUGUAUGAUUGGGCGCACGUAGCGCCCCAACCGAGUAGGCUGGCAUCGGAUUCCAGAAUAAAAUCUGGUUGAGAUCCGAAAAUCGCUUUCCCAUUCCAGGCUUCCAUAUUGCGAAGCCACCAGUGAAGUUCGAUGAGAACUUCGUCCGUUAGGGAAAUGAAUUGGUCGUAGGAGGUCGAGCGAUGUAAAUAGGAGGUUUUCAGCCGUUGCAUUGCUCUGUAAUGCAAGGGCCCUGGAAAAAUAGCCUGAAUUGAUGCAGACAGAAGACCCAGCACGUGUGCUAGGUCGCGGAGUCGAGGUCGUUGUGACUUGAGUAAUUUUUGAAUCUCUCGUUUUAUGUUUUUGAUUUUGGAGUAGGGUAAUUGUAGAGUUGCUUGAACUGAAUCUAUCUGAAAACCCAAAAAUUGGACUAUUUGAGAAGGUACCAGGUCUGAUUUCUGGUAAUUUAUGACAAAACCUAGGUUUUGAAGGAGGGCAGAGGUCAUGUGUGUGUGUUUGCGAAGUAAUUGCUGAUCUUGUGCCAUGAUCAGGAUAUCGUCCAAAUAUAUAAUUGAACGUAUGCCCUGAGAACGAAGGAGCGCCAUGACUGGUUUCAUCAACUUGGUGAAACACCAUGGAGCAGAACAAAGUCCAAAAGGGAGGCAGGUGAACUGCCAAAUGUCGCCUUGCCAACGGAAUUGGAGGAAGGCACGGUGACUUGGUGCUACAGGGACCGUCAGAUAAGCAUCUUUGAGGUCGAAUCUGGAGAACCAGUCUCCCAUGCAGAGCAAGUCCCUGAGAAGAUGGAUACCUUCCAUCUUGAAAUGACGGUAUGUGAUAAAGCGAUUCAACGCCUUGAGGUUGAUAAUGGGACGAUGGUCCCCCAUUUUCUUCCGAACCAGAAAUAUAUUCUUGAGGAAGGUGCAAGGGAAAGGCGAAGGUUCGAUCGCCCCUUUGUGUAACAAUUUUGUCAGUUCUGUGUUCAAGGUUAGAGUAUCUGCUUUUGACAUCCCUAAGGGUGUCGGGUGAGAAUAUUGAACUGGAUGUGUGAUAAAAUCUAUUUUGAAACCUGUGACUGUAUGAAGGAUCCAAAGAUCCUGAGAAAGAAGUUUCCACUGUGGGAAAAAAAAUGUUAAUCGACCUGCGAUUGAUACAGUUUUUAAAUAAGCAAGGUCCAUUACCUGAAGCAGUGCGUCCGCGUAGGGAUGCAGAGCCACGUCCUCGAAUUGAGCCUCUGGUGCCGAACAGCUGCCUGUGGUAGGGUCGUGAGUAUCCCGUGGACCAAUACUCUGUGGGUCGGGGCCUGUAGCCUGAAAAGGCUGCUCUACUGGUAGCUCGGCCCCUUGAGCGACCAGCUCUCCCAGAAAAACGAUUUUGAAAAGUGGGACGGAACACCCUACGUAGAGAGGACUGGGCUUUAUUGAGUGUGGUAAAAACUGAGACAUGCUUGGAGAGGUCUCGCAUGAAACUGUUACCAAAUAAAAGACCAUCGGCCUCUGGGCCUAGUUCUUUAGUGCUCAAAUCCACCAGUUUGGCAUCGAUUUUGUACAGUGCCGCUUUGCGUCUCUCAAUUGAAAUAGCCGUAUUGGCGUUGCCCAAAAGGCAAAGGGCUCUCUGUGCCCAUUCUCUUAUAAUGUGCGGAUCAAGUUCACCGCUGGUGAGUGCCUCAUCUGCGAGUAUGAAUAUUUGUAUGAUAGGACCUGAAAUGUCCAAUAAUUUGUCUUGGGUUGCUUUCAAACCCUGUUCAAUACCCUUACGAGGGUCUUUACCAGAUUUUGUUAAAUAGGUGACCAGCAUGGGGUCAAAUUCAGGGGUAGAGGCAACUUUGCCUGGAAUAGUUGGUCUCGGGCAUUCGCCCUUAGUUUGUUUCUGAUUUCUUUUUCGAGAGGCUUGCGAAGCCACAGUUUACAGAAAUUAGCAAUAUGAUCUGGGGGAGCCCAUUCUGCUGAGCGCGGGUGGCGUAUCACCCUUGGGUCAAAAAGGGGAAGGCCUGAAGCAUCCAGGAUGGUGUCUGAGUCAGGUACCUUACUCUUGUGAUCUUGACUUAGGAAGGUUUCUUUCACAAACUCCGAUGUUGAGGAAUCCUGGGGCACAUUCACCAUGGGAUCCUCAUCAGAGUAAUUAGGGUCAUAGUCACUUAGAAUAUGGCCAGAUAAACGUGAAGUAGAACCCUCUAGAAGGUCUGUAGCAUCCUGCGAAACGUAAGGUUUAGAGUGUUUAAUGACCUUAGCAGGAGCUUUGCCCUUGCCCGCAGUAGCGCUAUUCCCUUUCCAGGGUCUCUUGCGCGGGGCGUUAUCUUGGUCGGAAAUAUGGGAGUCCUCAGAAUCAGAGGGCUGUUGUGUAAAGGGGUGUACCUCUGGAUUACGUUCAUGGUAGGCUGCCAGAGCCUUAGGAAUGGACUCUGCGAUGGUUGAGAAAAGCCAUUCCUUAAGUUCAGCAGAAAUCGCAGGGUCUUGGCGAUCUGACAUAAUGACAAUUUCAAGAUAAAUGUAAACCCUAUUAGAGUGUCAAUUAAGGAUGAGGCAACUCAAUUAGAAAAAUAUGAGGUGGGGGUCACCCACGAGACGUCAGAAUCAAUGGGGGUCACCCACAAAUGCUUGGCACAAUAAAUUAGUAAAUGACAAAUAAUGGGGGUCACCCAAUAAUACAGAUUGUGAGUACUAGAAAUCUUGUAAAUUUAGUGAGGUGGGGUCAACACUAUAAAAUUACACUAGUAAUAUAUAUAAUGUAUAUAUAAUGCACAGUAAGUAAUGGGGGUCACCCACAGAAAAUAAAUCAGGUGGUGUUAGCCACAUAAAUAUUUACACAGCAGUGUUUUCAGUAGGUGGUGUCAGCCACACAAAUAUUGUACAUAAUAUGUACUUUAGAUAAGUAAGUGGGGUUCACCCACAUGAGGGAAAUAAAAUGGUCAAACAGCAAAAUUUGGUCAAAAAACAAAAACCACACUGUAAUUAUACAAUUUAAAGAAAGGGGUUCACCCAGAUAGUAAAAAAAAAUGGGCAAAGCCUGUGGAGAAAAAACAGAUAGGAGAUAGAUAAGAAAAAGAUCGUUUUUAAUGAGCUUGUGAAAAAGGUGAAGAUAUAAGGUGGCAGCAAACCUACCUUCCACAAACUAUUAAUAAGGUCUGUACCCACUUGAUUGUAAAAUUUGUGCGCCGCAGUGGAGGAGCCGUUGGCCGUUACUACUAAGGCUUAAGAUGGCCGCCGCGAGAACGCCGUCGUAGAAAGGGCGGGAAAAAGGUCCGCGUCAAAGAGGAGACGCCUUUGGUAGGCGGGAGGAAGGUAACGGCGGGAAACAGCAGCCGCGGACUCUGGGAAAUGGAGUCCGCGGCUGAAGAGAGACAGAGAAUGGGCCGCGGCUCUCCCUGAGAGAAUAGAGCCGCGGCCAGCUGAUUGAAAGCGGCAGGGUUUGAAAAAACCCUCCGUGCACUGGAACUAAAAGAGGAACCGGUUAGGACACCUAAAUUUAAAGGAAAAGCAAUCAAAAUAACAGAACAGUGAAAUAAGAAAAAAUACAAAAUAUGUGUGAGGAAAAAAGAGGAAAAUAUUUAAAGGGAAAGGUGAUUAAAUUAAAAAAUAAAUUUUUUAAGAUGAAUUCUGAGUAUGCAGUAACAAGGUGUAAAUAAAAAAAUAUCGAAUUAACUUAAACCAGUAAGGCAAUGUAAUUGGAGCAGACUCACCUGGGAGGCAAGCAGCAAAGAAAGAGGAAGUGGGAGGAGUUUGAUGACACUAUAUUGUAGUUGAGAUAUGUUAUGAUUGGUUGAUUUUUCCAUACAACAUUGUUAACCAUUUCUUUGCUGCUGGGAGUUACAGUAAAGAAAGAUAAGCAAAUAUGAAGCCUCCUGUCUUGCCAUAAAAUUAAACAGAACUUGCAAUAAAGGAAGGAUAAACAUUAGAUGACUCUUUACAGGAGGUGUUUAGGAAGGCUGUGCAAGUCACAUGCAGGGAGGUGUGACUAGGGUUCAUAAACAAAGGGAUUUAACUCCUAAAUGGCAGAGGAUUGAGCAGUGAGACUGCAGGGGCAUGAUCUAUACACCAAAACUGCUUCAUUAAGCUUAAGUUGUUUUGGUGACUAUAGUGACCCUUUAAUUGUACUCAGAGAGAGAAACACGGUCACAGUGAAAUUUACCAAAAUAACUGGAAACAGCACAACAUACGUGCUGAAAGAAAAAGAGAACACGUUAUGGGGUGAUGAAAAUUCACACUUGGUUAUUUACUAAACACCACAUUGUAGCAAAUUAAAUCUCAAGGUUAAAAUUGAGGCUAAAGUCAGUAAUUUGGACAAAUUCUGAAACUUCGCUGUAGUCACACCUCUCUUGCCGAGGGCCUCCUUGUAUCGCUGAACUGUAUACUUACCUGCUCUGUCUCACAGAGCGAUGAUACUGCCUAAACCUUUCCUUUCAGUAUCGCUUGCUCUCCUUCUGCCAGUUACCCCUCUCUUGCCCAGGGCCUCCUUGUAUCGCUGAAUUGUAUACUUACCUGCUCUCUGUCUUACAGAGCGAUGAUACUGAUUAAACCUUUCUGUGACGGAACGCUGGCACUCCGACUGAGUACCUCCGCCAAUCGAUGCUCCUAGUGUUCGCUGAGGACUCCAAGCACUCCAACCGACACCAUCAGCACUGCAGACCCCACUUCCAGCGAUGCAACUGCGCCGGGGUCUCUGCUGUUUCCACCCACCCUGGACCCAAGGCCAGGAUCCAGC